AGAGCGAACGCUGGCGGCAGGCUUAACACAUGCAAGUCGAGCGGGCGUAGCAAUACGUCAGCGGCAGACGGGUGAGUAACGCGUGGGAACGUACCUUUUGGUUCGGAACAACACAGGGAAACUUGUGCUAAUACCGGAUAAGCCCUUACGGGGAAAGAUUUAUCGCCGAAAGAUCGGCCCGCGUCUGAUUAGCUAGUUGGUGGGGUAACGGCUCACCAAGGCGACGAUCAGUAGCUGGUCUGAGAGGAUGAUCAGCCACAUUGGGACUGAGACACGGCCCAAACUCCUACGGGAGGCAGCAGUGGGGAAUAUUGGACAAUGGGCGCAAGCCUGAUCCAGCCAUGCCGCGUGAGUGAUGAAGGCCCUAGGGUUGUAAAGCUCUUUGUGCGGGAAGAUAAUGACGGUACCGCAAGAAUAAGCCCCGGCUAACUUCGCGCCAGCAGCCGC
rnacentral:rRNA from 1 species